GACGUAGGUGGCAAGCGUUGUCCGGAGUUACUGGGCGUAAAGCGUGCGCAGGCGGUUUUGCAAGCCGGAUGUGAAAUCCCCGGGCUCAACCUGGGAAUGGCAUUCGGGACUGCAAGGCUGGAGUGCGGCAGAGGAGACUGGAAUUCCUGGUGUAGCAGUGAAAUGCGUAGAUAUCAGGAGGAAUACCGAUGGCGAAGGCAGGUCUCUGGGCUGACACUGACGCUCAUGCACGAAAGCGUGGGGAGCAAACAGG
rnacentral:rRNA from 1 species